AUACGGAGGGUGCGAGCGUUAAUCGGAAUUACUGGGCGUAAAGCGCGCGUAGGCGGUUUGUUAAGUCGGAUGUGAGAUCCCCGGGCUCAACCUGGGACCUGCAUCCGAUACUGGCAGGCUAGAGUCUGGUAGAGGGGGGUAGAAUUCCUGGUGUAGCGGUGAAAUGCGUAGAUAUCAGGAGGAAUACCAGUGGCGAAGGCGGCCCCCUGGACUGAGACUGACGCUGAGGUGCGAAAGCGUGGGGAGCAAACAGGAUUAGAAACCCCAGUAGUCC
rnacentral:rRNA from 1 species